rnacentral:rRNA from 1 species
UACGUAGGGUGCGAGCGUUGUCCGGUAUUAUUGGGCGUAAAGGGCUCGUAGGCGGUUUGUCGCGUCGGGAGUGAAAACACUGGGCUUAACUCAGUGCUUGCUUCCGAUACGGCAGACUAGAGGUAUUCAGGGGAGAACGGAAUUCCUGGUGUAGCGGUGAAAUGCGCAGAUAUCAGGAGGAACACCUGUGGCGAAGGCGACCCCCUGGUUGGAUACUGACGCUGAGACGCGAAAGCGUGGGGAGCAAACAGG